rnacentral:rRNA from 1 species
UACGGAGGGAGCUAGCGUUGUUCGGAAUUACUGGGCGUAAAGCGCACGUAGGCGGCGAUUUAAGUCAGAGGUGAAAGCCCGGGGCUCAACCCUGGAACUGCCUUUGAUACUGGGUGUCUUGAGUACGAGAGAGGUGAGUGGAAUUCCGAGUGUAGAGGUGAAAUUCGUAGAUAUUCGGAAGAACACCAGUGGCGAAGGCGGCUCACUGGCUCGUAACUGACGCUGAGGUGCGAAAGCGUGGGGAGCAAACAGGAUUAGAAACCCGAGUAGU